rnacentral:lncRNA from 1 species
ACCCUCUGCAGGUUUUAACACGGCCCUUUGAGCUCCUUCAUCCACCUUCCAGUCACUGAAUAAACACCUGCAACCUCACCUGUCACUCAGGGAAAGCCUGGGACAGUUUCUUCUCCUGGGAAGAUCCUAAUGUCUGAUGCUAGAGGGAGCUCAAAACCGGAUUGAUACCAAAUAAAGAUCAAUAGGAAAUGAGAUUCCUCUCCUACCAGACCAUUGUUUUAAAAGACAAGCCUUUCUGGAGGGCAGGAUUAACACCAGCACUGAAGAUACUGCUUGAUGCAAGAGUGAUGUACAUGAGAUUCUCCACGUUGAAGUGGCAGUUAACCUGCUCUCACGACAUUGACAUCAUUCGUUAUUUGUCAAGAAGGUUUUGUACCAUGACCCCUCCUGUGUACAAGAUGCUGUACAAACGCCAAAAGACAAUAAUCCCACCCCAGACAAAGCUGCUCUUCUUCUCCAAGCAAGAAUGCUGUGGCUGUGAGCUGCAAAACCAUGAUCUCCCAUCUUCUUUUGAAAAGAGACGGGAGGAGCACACAGCAGGGCAAGUGAGACCAAUGGUUCUGGAACUUGCUGCACCACAGAAGAGUAGUAAGCACUACUAGUAGUAAUUAGUUGUCUUGGUAGUAGACACUACCGAGAGUAG